AUGAAAGUCAGUUUUGGGACAGUAUCUUCACCGCAGAAAACUCCAGAAAAAUGUGUGUCUAAUCAGAAGCAUUAAGUAUCCAUGAUACAUGCAUAGCAAUUUUCCACCAUUUGCCAAUCCAGUGCUUCUCUUAAAGAAGCUGUUAAUCCAAUGGUUCUCUCUUAGAAGGAAUAGACGCACACAGUGUCUGGCAUUUGCAAACUUUGCCAGGUGUUAAUAGAUUUGGUAAGUGAAUAUAUGUUUGUACUGGGCUCCUUGUGGUUACUUU